rnacentral:rRNA from 1 species
GGUUGACCUCGGAUCAGGUAGGGAUACCCGCUGAACUUAAGCAUAUCAAUAAGCGGAGGAAAAGAAACCAACAGGGAUUGCCUCAGUAACGGCGAGUGAAGCGGCAAGAGCUCAAAUUUGAAAGCUGGCCCCUUCGGGGUCCGCAUUGUAAUUUGCAGAGGAUGCUUCGGGUGCAGCCCCCGUCUAAGUGCCCUGGAACGGGCCGUCAUAGAGGGUGAGAAUCCCGUCUGGGACGGGGUGUCUGCGUCCGUGUGAAGCUCCUUCGACGAGUCGAGUUGUUUGGGAAUGCAGCUCUAAAUGGGUGGUAAAUUUCAUCUAAAGCUAAAUACUGGCCGGAGACCGAUAGCGCACAAGUAGAGUGAUCGAAAGAUGAAAAGCACUUUGAAAAGAGAGUUAAACAGCACGUGAAAUUGUUGAAAGGGAAGCGUUUGCGACCAGACUCGCCCGCGGGGUUCAGCCGGCAUUCGUGCCGGUGUACUUCCCCGUGGGCGGGCCAGCGUCGGUUUGGGCGGCCGGUCAAAGGCCCUCGGAAUGUAUCACCUCUCGGGGUGUCUUAUAGCCGAGGGUGCAAUGCGGCCUGCCCGGACCGAGGAACGCGCUUCGGCUCGGACGCUGGCGUAAUGGUCGUAAAUGACC